ensembl:lncRNA
CAGAUGUUGUGCGCAUUUGCGCUGUAGCGUUAGAUACACAAUGGAAAAGUUCACAUUUAUCUGUGCACUGAUUGUUUUGGCAGUAAGACAUUUUAUCUUAUUUUAUUUUAUUUAAUGUUAUAUUAUAUAUUUGCAUAUGAAAGGGUGUCUCUUUCUUGUGUCAUCGCUGAGAACAGGUGUGCACACAAAUAAUAAAACACAAGUCCAGCUGAGGUUUUUUUUAUUUUUGCUUUUGGUUUUGUUCGGUUUUUUUCCUCCAUCAGAGAGAGAGAGAGAGAGAGAGGUGGGGUAACAAGUGCGCAGCCUAACAGUGGGAUUUGCCCUAUGCAGGUGUAAUCUGCUACACGGUCUGUAAAAAGCUGGCGCCCGUGUGUAGGAGAUCACGAUGGUCAUGCACACAUAUGAAGUGUAAUCCUCUCAGCAGCAGCAGCAUGACAGGCUGCUAAUAUGCUCUGUGCUUAGCUCAGCAGGAGAUGGCACUGCUGCCACAGAGAGGGCUUCAGCUGAUGGUGAAGGUUUUGCCUCAAUGAUGAAAACAGGAGAUAUUUAGCAUAGUCCCUUUACAUUAGGGAAUGGGACAUCUCUAAACUACCACUGGUCAUUUAUUACUGGAGCGUUCAUGGUCCAUCCUGUGAAGUGCAAAAACACUGUACUGUUUCUUUGUCACUGGGCAGAAAUGAGUUUGAAGGAGACAAGUUCAAAGGUGGUGAGUUUGGAUUUUGCUUCAAAACAAUUAAUGUGUUAAUGUGAUGUUUUAGUAAGGUGGGUCAUUUUUAAUCCAUUUGGUUGCUAGGAUACUCGAGGAAGUAAUAAUAUAGGAUGUAGAUAAGAACCUUCAAUGGUCUAUGAUGUACCUGUGAGACAGGUUUGGUGUCCUGAGUGACUAGGAGGAUGUAUGUGGAGUAUGUGGACAGAUGGAGGUUUGGAAGAGUCUAAUGAAGAAUUACUGCUGGUCUGUUUUUUAUUUUGUUUUGUUUUGUUUUUCCCUUGGUGAUGACAUACUGCAUGGCUACAUUUGCACCACAUAUAGUAGUAAUUAGCACUUUUUCUUGGAUUUUGUUCCUUGUGUGAAACGUCUGUUUGAUCAGAUGUGAGAGCCACGGAGUGCUUUCUUUCUUUCUUUUUUGUAAAAUUAAAUUUUUGAACUGUAUUUGCACAUGAAUGUGAAUAUUUUCUUUAGUGAUUUAUUUUUUACCGCAUACAGAAAUUUGUCCGUGUUGCUUUAACUUUUUUUCCAGCCCGUCACACUGCACAAUGUCACAGCCAUCAGUGUUAGCUUUAGUCCUGUGGCAGGGUGGAGCAAACCAACUUGCUUAUAACAGUUAAAGCGCUUAGAUUGAUGCCUGUUCUUCAGUGUGAUGUUUUACUGCAGGUGUAACAUAUACUUUAUGCUAUAAAAUGCUGAAUUGUAAGCUUGGCUUUGACACAAAAAUCUCUCUAAAAAAAGAAUUUCAAGGGACAAUCCCAACAUUUUUAAACAGCAUGGCACAUUUAUGGAUUAUAUUUGACAAACAUUGUUUGAAAGCACACAUGCUCGUGAUUUAAUUGCUGUAAACUGUUUUAUGCCAAUAUCACACCGGCGGUCGUUCUUUACUUUCUGAUAAGACUGUUUACACAGCUGAGUGUGCUUCUUACCUUUUCUGUUGACUGUAGGGGUCCAUUUUUGUUUGACGCGCUGAGCUGCACUUGAUGUUUCAAGCUUUUUGUCUUUGCUUGUAAAAGUAGGCUGAAUAUUUGGUGUUAAUCUAAUAAUAUCCAGCAACAUACAACGGAGCCUUAAUAAGAUCAGAUGAUUUAGUCCA